UGAGUUUGAUCCUGGCUCAGAGUGAAUGCUUAAAGCAUGCUUAAUACAUGCAAGUCUAAAGAAUUUUUUUUUAUUAAAUAAGUCUUGGCGUACUGGUGAGUAUUAAUAUGAGAACUUAGCCCACAAAUUUGUAGUAAUUAGAACAAACAUAAAUUUUUAAUUUAUGACUAUAAUCUCAUAUAAUUUAAGUUUAUUUAGUAUAUCUAAAUAUUUAAAAAGAAAAGAUUUUUAUCAUUUGUGGACAAGCUCGUAUAGGAUUUAGACUGUUGGUGAGGUAAAGGCUCACCAAAUCGUUUAUCCUUAACUGUCUGGGAGGAUGCACAGUCACAUUGGGUCUGGAACAGCACCCAACUAUCGAAGGGGUAGCAGCAGUAGGGAAUCUUGACAAUGUGCUAACGCACGAUCUAGCAAUGCUUUAGAGGUGAAGACGGUUCAAGAAAUCGUAAAAUCGUUAUAAUAUCUAAAAUUUAGGGAGAAUACAAGGCACUGCCGUACUGUUUAUAUUAUAGAAGCUCCGACUAACUUCGUGCCAGCAGUCGCGGUAAUACGAGGGGAGCAAGUGUUAUUCGUACUGAUUGGGCGUAAAGGGUACGUAGGUUGUUAAUUAAGUUUGAAGUUAAAUUCUGGAGCUCAACUCCUUCGAAACUUUUUGAUACUAAUUAACUUUGAGUAAUUGGGAGGAUAGUGGGACUCUUAGUGUAGAGAUAAAAUUCGCUAAUAUUAAGGAUACGAAGCAGCUUAGGCGACUAUCCAUCUUUUACUGACACUGAGGUACAAAAGUAUGAGGAGCAAAUAGGAUUAGAGACCCUAGUAGUUCAUACUGUGACCUAUGAGUAUUGAACCUGGAAAUAUUUUAUUAAUUUUCCGUGAUUCAAGCUAACGCGUAAAUACUCCGCCUGGGGACUAAGGCCGCAAGGUUAAAACUCAAAGGAAUUGACGGAGAUCAGACCAAGUAGUGGAGCAUGUGAUUUAAUCCGAUAAUCCGCGUAAAACCUUACCAAUUCUAGUUUGUGUUAAGAUAUAUAUAGUGUUAUAUAUGCUAAUUUUUGUUGCAAUUUAAAUUAUUGUCUCAAAUAUAAUACAGUCAGGUGUUGCAUGGCUGUCGUCAGUCCGUGUCGUGAGAUGUCUGGUUAAAUCCGAUAACGGACGCGACCCUCGAACUAAGAAUUUAGUUGAAAGAUAAUUUAAUAUUAUAGGAAGGUGAGGACGACGACAAGUCGUUAUGCCUUUAUGAAUUGGGCUAUACACGUGCUACAAUGGUAAUCACAAAAAGAAGCAAGAAUGUAAAUUUAAGCUAAUCUUGAAAAAUAAAUCGUAGUUCGGAUUAUUCCCUGCAAUUCGGGAAUAUGAAGCUGGAAUUACUAGUAAUCGUAUAUCAGCACGAUACGGUGAAUUCGGAACCUGGUCUUGUACACACCGCCCGUCACGCCAUGGAAGCAGGUUUUGUAUUACAUAUCUGAACGAUUUUUUAAAUUAAAUAAAAAUGAUAAGUUGAUUUCAAAUAUUUUUUUAUUUAAUCUUUAAAGGAAGGCAGA
rnacentral:rRNA from 1 species